rnacentral:lncRNA from 1 species
AUGCGCACGGGUCUGAAACUUGCUUUUUUUCUCAUUUUCUGCUCUACCCGUGAGGACCUUCCAUGUCACUACUGCGGAACUUGCUCACUGUUCCAUCAGUACAUAGCUCGCCGUUGUGUGGACCUGCUGGGGUGGAUUCAACUAGCUGGCUGUCAAUGUUCAGACUGUUUUUGUAGGGUUCUUAGGAGGAUCUCUGCCUGUGGCUCUGUAUUUCUCUGCAAGUUCUGCCCUCAGGCUGAAGCAAGGAGACGUGAGUGUGGAUGGAGGAUACAGUCGUCGCUGUACCAAAGGGCUUGAGUCUCACUAAUACACAGAGUUGGCGUCUUAGGCUCCAAGCUGGAUCCCUGUUUUAAAGACGCAGUCCUUUGUCGCCAUCUCGAGGAAGAGUUCUAAAAAUCUCCUUUAUCUUGGGCUGUCCAUCUUUAGCAGCUGCAUGAUUCGACCACAGAUUAUUAUCGAUUAUGUACAAAGAGAUAAAAGCAGAAUUCAAAAACAAAUUUUGUAGUGCACUUCGUGGCAUCCUAGUAUUUCAAGAGGAUCUAAAAACUACACUCUAUCGUUUACAGAAAGAUGACUGUUAUAAAAAGUUAAUUCUAACCUUUUUAAGGAAAAUGUGUGAUAUUCAUUGAGUUCUAAUGUAUUGGACAUUUUUUUUUUCAUAAAAUACACCUGUAAGCACAGUCUUUGAUUUCUAGAGGUGUUCAAGGAGGAGAAGAUAAACUGCGUCUCUUUCCAGGGUUAUUUCUGUUGGCAUGGAGCCCCCUCUGUUCCUUUAGAACACGCUUCGCUCCUUGCUGGCAGGCUCACUCUACCCCUAGCAACCAGCAAGGUUUCUGGCCUGUCACAGGCACUCAGUAAGCACUUGUCAAGGGAAUGUUUUCCUUCUUGUGUUCCUAAUCAACCUUUGCUGUAUAAUUGUGCUGAUAACCUGGAAUACACCAAAAAUCUUGGUCAGGCCCAGACUGCUUGUUUUAUCAAUGAAUGAAAUGUGAUUUCUCCAAGGGAAGUCAGCCCCCAGGAUUAAAAAAGUAAAUGCCCCUUGAUUUUCACAGGGCCUAAAAUUCCAUUAUGAGCACCCCCCUUUUUGAGUGUUACCCUUUAAGAAUAUCUUAUUAAAAUGUUCACACUUCAUAGGAAAAUUAACAUCUUGAGUACUAUUACCUCUAAUUUUGUCUGGGUCAAGGGCAGCCUUAACCCUUGGGUACUACAGGAAACUGUGAAAGGCAUGGGAGGUAUGGGAAGAAAAUAUUAGAAUACCUAUUUAUGGCAUCUUUAAAAUGUCUUUGUUUUGCAUGCUUCCUAAGGUAUA